rnacentral:rRNA from 1 species
CAGCAGCCGCGGUAAUACGGAGGAUCCGAGCGUUAUCCGGAUUUAUUGGGUUUAAAGGGUGCGUAGGUGGCCUGUUAAGUCAGGGGUGAAAGACGGUAGCUCAACUAUCGCAGUGCCCUUGAUACUGACGGGCUUGAAUGGACUAGAGGUAGGCGGAAUGUGACAAGUAGCGGUGAAAUGCAUAGAUAUGUCACAGAACACCAAUUGCGAAGGCAGCUUACUAUGGUUUGAUUGACACUGAGGCACGAAAGCGUGGGGAUCAAACAGGAUUAGAGACCCCAGUAGUCCCUGUCUCUUAUAC